UACGUAGGGGGCAAGCGUUGUCCGGAAUCAUUGGGCGUAAAGAGCGUGUAGGCGGCCCGAUAAGUCCGCUGUGAAAGUCCAGGGCUCAACCCUGGGAUGCCGGUGGAUACUGUCGGGCUCGAGUCCGGAAGAGGAGUGUGGAAUUCCUGGUGUAGCGGUGAAAUGCGCAGAUAUCAGGAGGAACACCUGCGGUGUAGACGGCUUUCUGGACCAUAACUGACGCUGAGAUACGAAAGCGUGGGUAGCAAACAGG
rnacentral:rRNA from 1 species